rnacentral:rRNA from 1 species
UACGUAGGGACCGAGCGUUGUCCGGAUUCAUUGGGCGUAAAGAGCUCGUAGGCGGCUAUUCAAGUCGAACGUGAAAUCUCGGAGCUCAACUCCGAAACUGCGUUCGAUACUGGGUAGCUAGAGUCUGGUAGGGGGAUCUGGAAUUCCUGGUGUAGCGGUGGAAUGCGCAGAUAUCAGGAGGAACACCGGUGGCGAAGGCGGGAUCCUGGGCCAGUACUGACGCUGAGGAGCGAAAGCGUGGGGAGCAAACAGG